CCCUUGGCUUGUUUUUUGAUGUUGAAUCUGCCUAUGGCCAAAUCGGAGCCAAACCAACGGCCAAUCGGCCGUAAAAAACCGCCGAAGUCCAGCGGUGCCGCCGCGGCUUUCCUCGAUUUUUGCCUCCGAUGAGGCCCUUUCCGGUUCCCGUUCGAUGCAAUUUUUACACCACCUGAUCACCGUUCUUUUCUCUACAGGUUGAUCAGAGCAAAACAUCGAAUCGUGACUCGCACCGGAGAAGCCGCUGCACUUGAGAGCUCUGCUGCCGGUAAGUCUUGAUUUUUCGUGAUUUUUUGGCCCACCGAGGCGGAUCACCGCUGCGGGCGGCGACGCCAUCACCGGAGUGCGGCAAAACUACCGUGCCGGAGUUCUAAAAAUGGCUGAGUAGGCCUUGGGACU
rnacentral:lncRNA from 1 species